AACGUGACCAACUCCAGAGUAUUCUACUGUCGAGAAUGUCUCUGAUGGGAUAUAGGUAUAAGUGUCCCUUAGACUUGAGAUCGCCUCAGUGACUUGCAAGCAACUCACUGUGCUUUGGUACUGGACUAACUGAAUUUUUAAUUCAGGGACGGAAGGCUUCUGGGCACAGUCAAGUACUUGUGAAGUCAGAGUGUGAUCGAGAUGGGAUUGACCACUCCAAGAGUUGGAGAAGAAUGAGUCGCUGUAUUUUAAUUUAGCAAAACCUUGGCCAGGGUAAUCCAUCAGAUGGAUUUGAUAUUUUGAAAUACAAUAUGGACAACCUGAUCAAAGUUGACAGUUAAACUCUGAGGUGUCCUAUGAUCAUUUUGGUCAAGGGGAUGAAUUAUAUGAAAACUAUAUCUGCAUGGGUUCUAAGGAUGUUGUUCUAUACAUUCGACCUAUCCGAUCGUCGGGUACCAUUGCUAGACGGUCACUUCGAUUGGUACAAAAAUUUAUUCCUGUGCUACC
rnacentral:lncRNA from 1 species